rnacentral:rRNA from 1 species
GGCAUGUACUGCUCUGCUGGGCCUUACCUCUCGGUGAGCCGGCUUGGCCUUAACUGGUUGCGUCGGGGAACCAGGACUUUUACCUUGAGAAAAUUAGAGUGUUCAAAGCAGGCCUAUGCCUGAAUACAUUAGCAUGGAAUAAUAAAAUAGGACGUGCGGUUCUAUUUUUGUUGGUUUCUAGAGUCGCCGUAAUGAUUAAUAGGGAUAGUUGGGGGCAUUGGUAUUGAGUCGCUAGAGGUGAAAUUCUUGGAUUGACUCAAGACCGAGUACUGCGAAAGCAUUUGCCGAGGAUGUUUUCAUUAAUCAAGGACAAAGGUUAGGGGAUCGAAAACGAUCAGAUACCGUUGUAGUCUUAACAGUAAACUAUGCCGACUAGGGAUCGGGCGACCUCAAAUUUGAUGUGUCGCUCGGCACCUUACGAGAAAUCAAAGUUUUUGGGUUUUGGGGGGAGUAUGGUCGCAAGGCUGAAACUUAAAGGAAUUGACGGAAGGGCACCCCCAGGUGUGGAGCCUGCGGCUUAAUUUGACUCAACACGGGGAAACUCACCAGGUCCAGACAUAACUAGGAUUGACAGAUUGAUAGCUCUUUCAUGAUUUUAUGGGUGGUGGUGCAUGGCCGUUUUUAGUUGGUGGAGUGAUUUGUCUGGUUAAUUCCGAUAACGAACGAGACCUUAACCUGCUAAAUAGCCAGGCCGGCUUUUGCUGGUCGCAGGCUUCUUAGAGGGACUGUCAG